rnacentral:rRNA from 1 species
UACGGAGGGUGCAAGCGUUAUCCGGAUUCACUGGGUUUAAAGGGUGCGUAGGCGGGCAGGUAAGUCCGUGGUGAAAUCUCUGAGCUUAACUCAGAAACUGCCAUGGAUACUAUUUGUCUUGAAUGUUGUGGAGGUAAGCGGAAUAUGUCAUGUAGCGGUGAAAUGCUUAGAUAUGACAUAGAACACCCAUUGCGAAGGCAGCUUACUACACAAAUAUUGACGCUGAGGCACGAAAAGCGUGGGGGAUCAAACAGG